CGAACGCUGGCGGCGUGCUUAACACAUGCAAGUCGAACGCGAAAGGGACUUCGGUCCUGAGUAAAGUGGCGCACGGGUGAGUAACGCGUAGAUAACCUGUCUUCAUGUCUGGAAUAAUACGCCGAAAGGGGUACUAAUACCGGAUAUCUUGCUUUUCAUAAGUUAUGCAAGCAAAGGUGGCCUCUGCAUAUGCUACUGCAUGAAGAGGGGUCUGCGUACCAUUAGCUAGUAGGUGGGGUAAUGGCCUACCUAGGCGACGAUGGUUAGCGGGUCUGAGAGGAUGAUCCGCCACACUGGCACUGGAACACGGGCCAGACUCCUACGGGAGGCAGCAGUGAGGAAUAUUGCGCAAUGGGGGAAACCCUGACGCAGCGACGCCGCGUGAGUGAGGAAAGGCCUUCGGGUCGUAAAGCUCUGUCAAGAGGAAAGAAGUGUACAAUGGCUAAUACCUGUUGUAUUUGACGGUACCUCUAAAGGAAGCACCGGCUAACUCCGUGCCAGCAGCUGC
rnacentral:rRNA from 1 species